rnacentral:rRNA from 1 species
UACGUAGGGUGCGAGCGUUGUCCGGAAUUAUUUGGGCGUAAAGAGCUCGUAGGCGGUCUGUCGCGUCGAAUGUGAAAACCCGGGGCUCAACUCCGGGCUUGCAUUCGAUACGGGCAGGCUAGAGUUCGGUAGGGGAGUCUGGAAUUCCUGGUGUAGCGGUGAAAUGACGCAGAUAUCAGGAGGAACACCGGUGGCGAAGGCGGGACUCUGGGCCGAUACUGACGCUGAGGAGCGAAAGCGUGGGGAGCGAACAGG